rnacentral:rRNA from 2 species
GACUCUGGGAGGCAGUGACAAGAAAUAUCAAUAGGGGAUCCUAUGGGUCUUCUAAUUGGAAUGAGAACAAGCUAAACAGCUUAUCGAGAAUCCAGCAGAGGGCAAGUCUGGUGCCAGCAGCCGCGGUAAUUCCAGCUCUGUAAGCGUAUACCAAAGUUGUUGCAGUUAAAACGCUCGUAGUCGGAAUUUGGCAGUUCCGGAUGUGAGCACGUCGUGUGAGCACUUUGCGGGGGUUGCUUUUGUGGUCUUGCGUAGGAUGAGGCACUUUUGUUAGKGAACGUCCUCACGCAUCCACUUUUUACUGUGAGAAAAUCAGAGUGCUCAAAGCAGGCAUUUGCCGUGAAUGUAUUAGCAUGGAAUAAUAGAAUAKGACUCGGCUCUAUUUUGUUGGUUUGUUAGGGCUGAGUAAUGAUUAAGAGGGACAGUUGGGGGCAUUUGUAUUUCGGCGCUAGAGGUGAAAUUCUUAGAUUGCCCAAAGACAAACUGCUGCGAAAGCGUCUGCCAAGGAUGUUUUCAUUGAUCAAGAACGAAAGUAAGGGGAUCGAAGACGAUCAGAUACCGUCGUAGUCUUUACUAUAAACGAUGAGAACUGGGGAUCGGGCGAGGAAUUACGAUGACCCGCCCGGCACCCUUCGAGAAAUCAAAGUGUUUGCUUUCUGGGGGGAGUAUGGUCGCAAGGCUGAAACUUAAAGGAAUUGACGGAAGGGCAUCACCGGGUGUGGAGCCUGCGGCUUAAUUUGACUCAACACGGGAAAACUUACCAGGUCAGGACAUAGUGAGGAUUGACAGAUUGAGAGCUCUUUCUUGAUUCUAUGGUUGGUGGUGCAUGGCCGUUCUUAGUUGGUGGAGUGAUUUGUCUGGUUAAUUCCGUUAACGAGCGAGACCUGGGCGUGCUAACUAGGGGCUACUACCAUUUUGGUAGUACGCUUUCCCUUCUUAGACGGACUGUGGGCGUCUAGCCCACGGAAGCUCCAGGCAAUAACAGGUCUGAGAUGCCCUUAGAUGUUCUGGGCCGCACGCGUGCUACACUGAGUGGAUCAGCGGGUCAGGUUGCGCGAAAGUGUUUCCUAAUCUUGAAAUCCGCUCGUGAUGGGGAUUGACGGUUGCAAUUUUCAGUCSUGAACGAGGAAUACCUUGUAAGCGCGGGUCAUCAUCCCGCGCUGAAUACGUCCCUGCCCUUUGUACACACCGCCCGUCGCUCCUACCGAUUGAGUGGUCCGGUGAGGCUUUGGGAUUCGAGCG